CAUCGUCCUCCCCCGCACCCCCCUCUUCCCUUCCAAACAAUAUUUUCUCCGUUGUUGAACACACAAAAGCAAAAUAAAAAAUAAAAAAUAAUAACCUCCUUCUUUUUCUUCUUUUUCACUUAUCUCUUAAAAACUUUUGAGUUCAGUCUAUAAGUCUCCAUCCAACAAUGACUUCCAUUUUCCAAGAAUUAUUUUUCUAUAUUCUAUUAGUAUUUUUCGAUUAAAAUAAAUUAGUUUAAAUUUAAUGUUAAAUUUAUUUGUGAUUAUAUCUUUGUAGGGAGUUCUGAAAAUGGUUCUUUCGGUAGCGGUGGGUUACCGGCGGCGAGGGAAUUCGAAAUGAACCAGAUGCCGACAGUGGGUAUGGAAGAAAUUCAUCGCUAAACAGUGUAGCGUCGUCGUUUCGUAUGGAAUUUGGGCUAUUCAAAAACUCUGUGAAUAUUAUCGACGUCGGAAAUAAACGGAGCUCCGACUCUACCGGCAGGAACAAUGGCGCCAUUAAUGGAGAAGAAGAUAUGGAGAAGAAGAUGAAGAUGGUGACUAUUUUUUUUUUAAAAAAUUAUUUUAUGUGUCUUUUUUUGAUUAGUUAGGUUUUUUUAUAUUUAAUAUUUUUGAUUAAUUAUGGCUUCUCACUCUCCAUUUGGAGAGUGUGUUACACAUGCCACGCCAUGUCAGUGCUACAUCAGCAAUUGCAUUCAAUUGAUACGUUUUGUGAAGGAAUAAAGGGUUCAAUAGGUACAUGACUUAA